rnacentral:rRNA from 1 species
GAUGAACGCUGGCGGCGUGCCUAAUACAUGCAAGUCGAGCGAACAGACGAGGAGCUUGCUCCUCUGACGUUAGCGGCGGACGGGUGAGUAACACGUGGAUAACCUACCUAUAAGACUGGGAUAACUUCGGGAAACCGGAGCUAAUACCGGAUAACAUGUUGAACCGCAUGGUUUAACAGUGAAAGACGGUCUUGCUGUCGCUUAUAGAUGGAUCCGCGCCGCAUUAGCUAGUUGGUAAGGUAACGGCUUACCAAGGCAACGAUGCGUAGCCGACCUGAGAGGGUGAUCGGCCACACUGGAACUGAGAUACGGUCCAGACUCCUACGGGAGGCAGCAGUAGGGAAUCUUCCGCAAUGGGCGAAAGCCUGACGGAGCAACGCCGCGUGAGUGAAGAAGGUCUUCGGAUCGUAAAACUCUGUUAUUAGGGAAGAACAAAUGUGUAAGUAACUAUGCACGUCUUGACGGUACCUAAUCAGAAAGCCACGGCUAACUACGUG